CCCUUAGAUUGUCUGGGCGGCACGCGCGCUACAAUGAUGCAUUCAAAAAGUCUUCUGACCUUAGAAGGUUGGGUAUUCUCCAAAGUGCAUCGUGAUGGGAAUAGUUUAUUGCAAUUUUUAAUCUUGAACGAGGAAUUCCUAGUAAGUACAGGUCAUCAACUUGUGUUGAUUACGUCCCUGCCCUUUGUACACACCGCCCGUCGCCCCUACUGAUUGAGUGUCUCGGUGAAUUCGUUGAUCUUCUGUCGAUUCAGUUCACUGAUCCGACGGUGGAAAGUUGAAUGAACUUCGUCACUUAGAGGAAGGAGAAGUCGUAACA
rnacentral:rRNA from 1 species